GGCCGCCGGGGAGGCCCUGCGCCCCCGGGCCCGCGCCCGCCGAAGACCCCAACAUGAACGCUGUUCUGAAAGUAUGCAGUCUGAGUUGAUUAUCGUAAUCAGUUAAAACUUUCAACAACGGAUCUCUUGGUUCCGGCAUCGAUGAAGAACGCAGCGAAAUGCGAUAAGUAAUGUGAAUUGCAGAAUUCAGUGAAUCAUCGAGUCUUUGAACGCACAUUGCGCCCCCUGGUAUUCCGGGGGGCAUGCCUGUCCGAGCGUCAUUGCUGCCCUCAAGCACGGCUUGUGNGUUGGGCCCCCGUCCCCCUCUCCCGGGGGACGGGCCCGAAAGGCAGCGGCGGCACCGCGUCCGGUCCUCGAGCGUAUGGGGCUUUGUCNCCUGCUCUGUAGGCCCGGCCGGCGCCAGCCGACACCCAACUUUAUUUUUCUAAGGUUGACCUCGGAUCAGGUAGGGAUACCCGCUGAACUUAAGCAUAUC
rnacentral:rRNA from 1 species